AGCGAACGCUGGCGGCAGGCUUAACACAUGCAAGUCGAGCGCCGUAGCAAUACGGAGCGGCAGACGGGUGAGUAACGCGUGGGAACGUGCCUUCUGGUUCGGAAUAACUCAGGGAAACUUGAGCUAAUACCGGAUAAGCCCUUCGGGGAAAGAUUUAUCGCCGGAAGAUCGGCCCGCGUAAGAUUAGCUUGUUGGUGAGGUAAUGGCUCACCAAGGCUACGAUCUUUAGCUGGUCGAGAGGAUGAUCAGCCACACUGGGACUGAGACACGGCCCAGACUCCUACGGGAGGCAGCAGUGGGGAAUAUUGGACAAUGGGCGCAAGCCUGAUCCAGCGAUGCCGCGUGUGUGAAG
rnacentral:rRNA from 1 species